CAAAAGUCUACGGAAACAAAAUCUUAGUAAUAACUCAACGGAAAGAUCGAUAGUAGAGUUUAUUCCGAGUAUACUCAUCUUUAUAAUGGUGUUACAUCAACUCAUACUGACGCAGAAUCCUAGUAUAUACAAUCAACGGUUUUUACGGACUCUGGAUACAAAAUCUUAGACCAGCCACCAUGUUACUAUACGGUAUAGUGUUAAGUAUCGUCUAAAGUUAGUCGACAACGUAACCUUCUUAGGAAUUGGUAUAGACGUCUAAUAAGAAGUCAAGGAAAUAAAAGUAAUGGCCUUCGUUUCACCCGCACUACUUGAACUGUUAAACCUAUUUCGGAUUACGUGUCGUUUGUUUCAUAAAGUAAAGAAAAGAAGUUACCUUUUCUGUACCUCGAUGGUGGACGCACCCCUAACACGUAAAAAGAACCUUUCGACGCGUUAUCGGUGAGGGGCACGUCUUGACGUCUCUGUUCCAAGUGUGCGAAUUAAACGCCACUUACUCGACGCCGCGGCGUACCAAUUCCCUACUUUAGACAAUUCCCUAUCUACGUCGUCAGACGGCACAAUCUUAUGGUUUUUACAUACACAGUACAUGAGUCCCAGUACGAUAUAGACAUGUAGCAUACCACUAAACGUCAAGAAGUACGAUAGAGAUAAAAACAUCACCACAGCAGAACACAUCCGGUAACAACAGCCUACGAGUCUAAGUUUAUGCGCAGCUCCGGGGUAGGAAACUGAGAUUUAUACCAAUACGUAAUGGUUUUU
rnacentral:rRNA from 1 species